rnacentral:rRNA from 1 species
AAUGGGGGCAACCCUGAUCCAGCCAUGCCGCGUGAGUGAAGAAGGCCUUCGGGUUGUAAAGCUCUUUUGGUCGGGAAGAAAGUGCUCUGCAUAAUACGUGGGGUAUUUGACGGUACCGGCAGAAUAAGCACCGGCUAACUACGUGCCAGCAGCCGCGGUAAUACGUAGGGUGCGAGCGUUAAUCGGAAUUACUGGGCGUAAAGCGUGCGCAGGCGGUUCGUUAAGUCUGAUGUGAAAGCCCCGGGCUCAACCUGGGAAUGGCAUUGGAAACUGGCGGGCUGGAGUAUGGCAGAGGGGGGUGGAAUUCCACGUGUAGCAGUGAAAUGCGUAGAGAUGUGGAGGAACACCGAUGGCGAAGGCAGCCCCCUGGGCCAAUACUGACGCUCAGGCACGAAAGCGUGGGGAGCAAA